AAGAGCUCGUAGGCGGUUUGUCGCGUCUGCCGUGAAAGUCCGGGGCUUAACUCCGGAUCUGCGGUGGGUACGGGCAGACUUGAGUGAUGUAGGGGAGACUGGAAUUCCUGGUGUAGCGGUGAAAUGCGCAGAUAUCAGGAGGAACACCGAUGGCGAAGGCAGGUCUCUGGGCAUUAACUGACGCUGAGGAGCGAAAGCAUGGGGAGCGAACAGGAUUAGAUACCCUGGUAGUCCAUGCCGUAAACGUUGGGCACUAGGUGUGGGGGACAUUCCACGUUUUCCGCGCCGUAGCUAACGCAUUAAGUGCCCCGCCUGGGGAGUACGGCCGCAAGGCUAAAACUCAAAGGAAUUGACGGGGGCCCGCACAAGCGGCGGAGCAUGCGGAUUAAUUCGAUGCAACGCGAAGAACCUUACCAAGGCUUGACAUGAACCGGAACGGCGCAGAGAUGUGUCGGCCACUUGUGGCCGGUUUACAGGUGGUGCAUGGUUGUCGUCAGCUCGUGUCGUGAGAUGUUGGGUUAAGUCCCGCAACGAGCGCAACCCUCGUUCCAUGUUGCCAGCGGGUUAUGCCGGGGACUCAUGGGAGACUGCCGGGGUCAACUCGGAGGAAGGUGGGGACGACGUCAAAUCAUCAUGCCCCUUAUGUCUUGGGCUUCACGCAUGCUACAAUGGCCGGUACAAAGGGUUGCGAUGCUGUGAGGUGGAGCUAAUCCCAAAAAGCCGGUCUCAGUUCGGAUUGAGGUCUGCAACUCGACCUCAUGAAGUCGGAGUCGCUAGUAAUCGCAGAUCAGCAACGCUGCGGUGAAUACGUUCCCGGGCCUUGUACACACCGCCCGUCAAGUCACGAAAGUUGGUAACACCCGAAGCCGGUGGCCUAACCCCUUGGGGAGGGAGCCGUCGAAGGGGCCCC
rnacentral:rRNA from 1 species